UCGAACAAAAUACAUAUUAGCCUAUACAUGCCAUAAGUUCGAAAAUAGACUUUUAAAAGUACCGAAGGUUUACGAUAGUGUGGAUGACUUCGAUGAUGAUCCUCAAGCUCGUAACUUACAACCAAAAUCUAUAACACAGAGUAACAAAAACACACAAAGUAAGCUAACUUAGCUUAGUAAGCCUUAAGCAAAUUAAACAACUCAAAUGAAUAAUCAAAACCUUUCAAAUAAGUCAAAUUGUAUCAUUAAUGUUAUACUUUAACACAAUUAAGUUACCUUGGUCGAAUGCUAAUAUUUCUCAUUUAGCAUAAUAUUAUUCAACUUUUCAUUCCCAAAAUAAUACUAUCACAAUUAUGCUUACAUUCAAAUAUAAUAUCACAUAUUUAUACACACCUAUUUGGCCAAAUAUUCAAGGUCAAUUAUAACACCACAUAAAUACUUACCUGUAUAACCGAAUAUACAAAAUCCAAUACAUAUCAUCUCAUAAAUACUUACUUGUAUGGCCAAAUACACAAGGUUCAUUAUAUCAUCACAUAUGGCUGAAUAUACAAGUUCAAUAUAUCAUCAUAUAUGGUCGAAUAUACAAGUUCAAUAAAACAUCACAUGUAGCCAAGUAUACAAGGUCAUUUAGAUCAACUUACUUGUUCAAUUUCCACAUCAAUGUGAAGUCUUAUAGACAUAGGCUUGAAAAUAAAUCACCCGCGUAAAACCUACUAGGCAUAAGCCUGAAUCACACGCCGGCACAAGGCAUGCUAAACUCAAGGUCUGAUUCUUAUUUAUUCACUGACAAUAAGCCGGCUAGGCACAAAGCACGAUCAAAUUCACCAGCACAAGGCUUGCUAGGCUCAAAGCCUGAAUAUCACUAUUACAAAGUCAUUCCAUAAACAGUUCAUAUAUCGAAUCAUCCAAAUAUUCCAUGCUGUUCAUACAAACUUUCAGAGGUUUUAACUCAAUCGAAUAAAACUCAACCACAUAACUUCAAUGUUAAACCACAUUCGGUUACCCUACUAUACAACUAUAAAAUUUGAAUCAUCAUAGUAAAUCAUUUUAUAUUCAAAAUAAACGGUGUUGAAUUGCUUAAAGACUUACCUCAGAUAUCACGAACGUUAUAAAUCGGCUAUUCGAUUAUUUUUGCUUUUCCUUGAUCCAAGUCCGAUUUCUUUUGUUCUUGAUCUAUAUAAUUUCAAAUUAACCUCAUUUAAACACAAUUUCAUUCAAAUUAAUCCAACAACACAUAAAUGGGAAAAUUACCAUUUUACCCCUAAUAUUUCAUACUUUUACAAAUUAGUCCUAAUUGCAUAAAACACAAAAUACACAAAAUCUCACCACAUCAUAGUUAGGCCGAAUCUUCCUUAUACUCAUAAUAGUCCAUAUAUUUUAUUUAUUUUUUAUUUUAGUCCUUCAAUUUAUUAUUUUUACAAUUUAGUCCUAAUAACUCAAAAUCAUCAAAAACUCCAAUACAAAACAUGUUAAUCUAAAACAUAUUUUUUAUUUUUCAUCAUCAAACAUCACAAAACACAAAUAUUCAUCAAUGGUAUAACUUAAAAUAUUCACCGAAAUAAAAAAUUCAAGCAUGAGUUGGGUAGUAUUCGAAGCAACGAUCUCAAAAACGUAAAAAUUAUCAAAAACCGAACAAAAACUAACCUUUAAUCAAGCUUCCAAAGUGCCGAAUGCUUGAAACUUUCUAAAGCUUUAUUUUUCUUUUAGUUUCGGUCAAAAUGAACUAAAAUGCAUGGCUAUAUUAUGUUUGUUUUAUUUAAUGUACAUAAUAUUUCAUAAUUUACUUUAAUAACCUUUAUAAUCAAAUAAUAAACCAUAAUUUAAUAAGGCUACAACCGUCCAAGGCAUAAUAUCAUGGGCAAUUUGCAACAUAAACACCCCAUAUUAAAAAGCCACUAACAAUUCAGUCUUUAUGAUUUAAACUAUCAAAUUUUCAAUUUACGCGAUUAAGUCAUUUUUAUCAAAUUAAGCACACAAACAAUCAAAUUUUCAAAUGAAACUUUCACACAUGCAAAUUCACAUAUAAUAAACACGGAAAAUAAUAUUUAAAUAUUUUUCUAACUCGGAUUCGUGGUCCCGAAACCACCGUUUCGAUUAGGGUCUAAAUCGGACUGUUACAUAUAUUUUUUAUUUCAUGUUGUUUUAAGCUUCUUUUUUUUAAUGAAUGUUUUUAACAUAUUAGCUUCCUUAGUUAAAUGGUAAAAUAAUAAUGAUUUUAUCAUUGAGACUCAAGUUCAAUUUCUCUUUUCUAAACACAUUUGUAAUUUUUAUUUCAUACCGUUUCAAGUUUUUUUAAAUUUUUUAAUUAAUAAAUAUAUUGUUUUUAAUUUUUAAUUUUAAUUUAUAUUUUAAUUAAUAAAUAUUUUAUUCAUAAAAUCAAUAAUUAUUAAAAAUAUGAUUAUUUUUAGUUAAUAUUAUUUUUAUAUGUGUAAUAUUUAUUUUCCAAUUCAUAUCAUGAGUGUAGUAAAUAUUUUUGUAUGUGUAUUUAAAAUAUUUCACAUAUAAAUAUAUUUAAAAUAUCAUUCUCACAAUGUAGAUGAAAAAACAAUGAUAUUUGAAAUAUUUUACAUAUAAAAAUAAUAAUUAUUUUCGAAAUAAUUAUUUCAUUUUAUAAUAUUAGAAAUCUUCACACCACAAUAUACGUAGAGAAAAUAAAUAUUUGACAUAUAAAUAUUAUAUAUAAAGAAAAAUAUGUCAAAAAAAAUAGUUUAUGUUUAUAUUAUUUAUAAAGGAGUUAUUAGUUUCAAAUAUUUUUAACAUAAUGAGAUAUGUAAAAUAUAUAUUUUUAUUAUAAAAUUACAUAUUUAUUAGCUUUAUUUUAUGAAUAAAAGAGUUUUUAAUUAAAAAGAUGAAUUGGUCAAAAUUUUUGUCAACUUGCCGCCGCUUAGGUCAAGAGUGCUCUCUUGGGUCUCCUGAAGAAACAGUAUUUUCUGGGGUCGGGAAGAAGAGAAGUGGUGGCUUUCGGGGCUAUGGACGACGGGAAGGAGUUGAGGAAUGACUUGGGGGCUAAGGAUGACGGGAAUGAGAUAGCCCUUCUUGAAGAAGAGUUGAUCCAUUUAUCGGUGAAAAGCUCUAUUGUAGAUCCUUUUGAAAAGCCAACACUGAUUUGUUCUGUUUGGACGAGAAAAAAUUACAAUCUGGACAGCCUGAGAGCACAAGUGAGAAGUAUCUGGAAAACCAAAAAGAAGUUUGAGAUUAUGAUUGCAGGCCAAAAUCUAUUCAAGAUAGUAUUCGAAGAUGAGGAAGACUUAGAGCAGAUUAUGAAUGGGCGACCAUGGUUCUUUCGAAAGCAAUUAAUUAUUUUUGAUCGUUUAACAAAAUUAGUAGAGCGAAACAAGAUCUGAUUGGUUUCUUCACUGUUUUGGCUAAAGAUCGGCCCAUGCCCAUCUGAGUGUGAUAAAAAGGAUCUGAUGCAUGCUGUGGGGUCCACGUUUGGGGGAAUUAUUCAUUCUAAGAUCAAAGGUGAUUUUUGUCGUAUUAGAGUUCAUCUAGAUGUUUAAAAACCACUUAGAAAAGGGAUUUUUGUCUCUCUAAACGACCAAGAUAAAGCCUGGCUUCUUUUCAAAUAUGAGUGUCUCCUAACGUUUUGCUUUGGGUAUAGUCACAUGGGUUACGGGAUUAAAGAUUGUCUAAUGUUAUCAGAGGGGGAUCGCAGCAAGGCGGAGGAUGAACUUCCUUUCUCGGUAGCACUUAAGGCAGAAUUGUCAGAUUAGGCAGGGAGAGCUUACUGUUUGGUUCUUUGCAGAAGAAAAUAAUGAAAAAAUGUUACUACAUCGGUUAGGAGGUAGCGGGUAAAGUUGAUAGUGUUUCAAUAGAUUCUGUACAACAGAUGCAUCGGAUGGUGAAAGAAGUUGGUUUAGAGAAGUCCUUUGAUCUUAGGGAAAUAGGGAUUUUGCGGCAAAAAUUUAGGGAUAAUGAAACAAAUUUUUAUCCUCAUAAUAUGCCGAGAGAAGUGGAAGAAAACUCCAGUAGGGAUCACUGUCGUGAGGGAAAUAGGUCAAAUUAAAUUUCUGAAUCAAACAGGCAAAUCGAACUGAUUGAGGCCUAACAAUUGAGUCAAAAGAAAUAUAGCUGGAGGCGCUUUUCUAGUAAAGAAUCUUUUGAUGCAAACAUGGCUGGGAUGAUAAUGGGGAAGCGAAAAUUUAAUCACGAGAAAUUGGAUGAUAUUGAAGCAUACCUUUCGGAUGAUGUUAAAACAAAAAGGGCAAAUUUUGACAGCAUAUGUUCGGCAGAUUUUGCAACAACUGAGCCUUCAUGCUUUGUUUUAACAGAUGUUAGUGACCCUUCACAAAUUAUAUCGACGGCUACCAAAUGGCAAGCCGACUGAAAACAAUGAAACUCUUAUGCUGAAAUGUCCGGGGAUUGGGGAAUCCCCGGGCUAUCAAGAGGCUUCACCACAUGUUAAAGCUUUACAAACCCCAAAUGGUCUUCUUAAUGGAGACAAAGCUGGAUCAAAACAGAAUGGAACGUGUUCGAAAGCGCUGUGGGUUUUAUAAUGGGCUGGAUGUUUCAGCUUUUAGUUCAAGGGGAGGUCUAAGCUUGGCUUGGAAUGGGAAUUUUUUAAUUCAAGUUCGUAGUUACUCAACUAAUCAUAUUGACGCUGAGGUUUAUGAAGAUGAUGACUCAAUUAAAUAUAGAUUUACCGGGUUUUAUGGGAACCUACGACAAGCAAAUAGACAAGAAUCUUGGAAUCUCUUUAGAAGAUUACGAAGCACCUAUACUUUGCCGUGGUGUGUAGGAGGUGAUUUUAACGAAAUAAUGUACACUCAUGAGAAAAAAGGGGGAGCAACAAGAGAUUGACGAUAAAUAGAGGAAUUUAGGCAAGCUCUGACAGACUGUGAAUUGGUUGAUAUGGGUUUCAAAGGGAAAAAAGUUGGGAAAGGGAAAUUUUGAGAGCACAAAUGUUAGAGAAAGACUUGAUAGGAGUGUGGCGAAUAGUGAAUGGUUAAACUUGUUUCACGAUUUCUCUGUUACCCAUCUUCCUCACUCUUAUUCUGACCAUUGUCCACUUUUUAUACAAACAGAGCUUAAUGAAUAUCCAGCUGGAAAGAAGAGGUUUAAAUUCGAAUCUUGGUGGAUACUGGAACCGUCUUGUGAAGAUGCCAUCAAGAAAUUGUGGACUAAAAAGUCAGGAGAUGCGCUGGAAAAAUUAGAUUAUCUUCGAGUUAAUCUUCAAAGAUGGGGGAAGACUAUCAAAGGAGAGCGUGAUAAAAGAUCGAAGGCUUUACGGAAAAGAUUGGCUAAAUUAGAAGGUAUGAAUAGGAAUGAUGAUAAUUUAGCUGAGAUGAUAACUGUAAAAUUGGAAUUAAAUUGGGAGAUGGAAAAUGAGGAAUUGUAUUGGGAACAAAGGGCUAGAGCAAAUUGGUUGCGUCAAUGGGAUAAAAAUACGGCUUUUUUCCACAGCAAAACAUCUCAAAGACAUAGGAUAAACAAGAUUUGGGGACUGGAAAACAUGGAAGGAGAUUUAAAAAUAGAGGAUACGAAUAUGGAAAGCAUCAUAAGGGAUUAUUUCAUGGGAUUAUUCCAAUCAAGUGGAGUUGGUGAUACAAACCGUCUUCUUUCGGGGGUUAAAAGGUGUAUUGGAGCGGACAUGAAUCAACUACUAAUAGAGAAAUACAAAGAGGAAGAAGUUGUCGAGGCAAUCAACAGUAUCGGGCCAACAAAAGCCUCCAGACCUGACGGUUUCCCAGUAAUUUUCUUUCAAAAAUAUUGGCACAUAGUGGGGAGGGAAGUCAGCAAUUUCUGCUUGGAAGUACUUAAUAAAGGUAAAUCUUUACAACUGCUGAAUCAUACGAAUAUAGUGUUACUUCCAAAAACGUCUCACCCAAGAAAUCCCACCAAUUUUAGACAUAUUAGUCUAUGCUCGGUGUUCUAUAAAAUCAUAUCAAAAUCUAUCGCAAACAGACUUCAAAAAGUUACGGAUCAUUGUAUCGAUUCUGCUCAAAGUGCGUUCGUUCCGAGAAGACUAAUUUCUGACAACGUACUUCUCGCCUACGAAAUUCUUCACAUUAUGAGAAAUAAAAGGGUGGGGAAAAAAGAUCUUAUGGCACUUAAGAUUGAUAUGAGUAAAGCAUAUGAUAGGGUGGAAUGGAAGUUUUUGGAAAAAAAUGAUGAUCACAAUGGCUUUUGAUGUGCGAUGGGUGGAGUGCAUAAUGCAUUGUAUUAGCACAGUGUCGUAUUCGGUGGUUUUAAAUGGCAUGCCAGGGAUGGUUUUUACUCCAAGAAGAGGCCUAAGGCAAGGGGACCCUUUAAGUCCCUUUCUAUUCCUUUUAUGCAGUGAAGGGCUGUCAACACUUUUAAGGCUUGCAACAGAGGAAGGAGUAUUGAAAGGGAUUAAGGCAAGUAGAAGGGGACCUCAAAUUUCCUAUCUCUUUUUUGCUGAUGACUGUGUUUUAUUUGGAGAAGUGACCGGCAAGGGUAUUGCAACGUUUGAAAAGGUGCUCAAGGAAUACGAAAUUUGUUCUGGAAAAUGUAUUAAUUAUAGUAAGUCAACUGUGUUUUUUAGCUCAAAUACCAUUGAAAAUGUUCGAUCUACCAUAUCGAAUCGUCUAGGACUGAAAAGGGCAAACAAUUCUGAGAAAUACCUAAGCCUACCGAAUAUGGUGGGAAGGAAGGAGCGUUUGGUAUUCCAACAUUUAAAGGAUAGCCUAAAGUUAAAGAUAGACAAUUGGAGUACAAGAUUAUUAUCGCAAGGCGGAAAAGAAGUGUUCAUCAAAGCCGUUUUACAAGCAAUCCCCACGUACACAAUGGCAUGUUUUCUUUUGCCGAAAUCAUUAUGUGAAGAAAUGGAACAAAUCAUCGCAAAAUUUUGGUGGCAAAAAGGUUAUGGGAAACGAGGUAUUCACUGGUGUUUAUGGAGCAAAUUAUGCGAGUUAAAAAAGAGUGGCGGUCUCGGAUUCCGCAAUUUGGCAAAAUUUAAUUUGGCCCUUCUCGCAAAACAAGGCUGGAAAUUAAUUGACGAUUCUAAUUCCCUUUUGGCUAGAACGUUAAAAGUUAAAUAUUAUCCGAAUACUGAUUUUUUAAAUUCAGGUUUAGGUAAUUUACCUUCCUAUACCUGGAAAAGCAUAUGGGCAGCAAAGGGCCUCUUACUAUCGGGAUUGUGCUGGAGGGUGGGGAAUGGCCAUGACAUUCGUAUAGAAGAAGAUGUUUAGGUCCCAAAUGUGCCAGGUCUACUGAUUAACAAAAAGGACAGAAUGCAGAACAUCAUAAUGGUUGCGGAUCUUAUUGACAGUAAUAUCAGAGCAUGGAAAACAGAGUUGAUUUGGAGUACCUUUUCGGAAGUUGAUGUUCCAAAGAUUCUGCAAAUCCCUUUGGCCCAGCGUUCACAAAAUGAUCUUUUGAUAUGGAGGGGUGAAGCAUCGGGUAAAUAUACUGUGCGUAGUGGUUACAAACUACUAUUACAAGGCAAUGAUUACAAUAGUAAUGGUUACAGUUUGCCUGAAAUUACAAAAUGUUACAAGAAACUGUGGAACUGUAAUCUCCCCUCAAAGGUACGUAUUACAGUUUGGAGAGCCACUCUCAACUACCUCCCUACCCUAGUGAAUUUAAGAAUCAAAAGAUUAACGAAUAACGCCAUCUGCCCGAGAUGUAAGCAAGGGCUGGAAACUAGGGAACAUAUUUUUCGCGACUGUGCUGCUGCGAAGGAAAUGUGGAAAAAAUUAAAUUAUGUAUGGUCACUCAAGUUAUCGCAUAUGGACUAUAUGGAGUGGUUUACCUGGGUAUUGUUGCACAGUAAAGAGAAAGAAUGCUACAUCUUUGUCUGUGCCAUUUGGGCUAUCUGGUCGAAUAAGAAUCAAUGGGUACACGGAGGACAUAAGAGAACUAGAACAGAAAUAGCGCAGUUUGUAAUACAGUAUUUACAGGAAUUACAAGAUAUGGAAAGAAAACACCAUGCCAAAUACUCAGUUUUAGAUUCAUGGAAGGCGCCGGAAAGCAGGUUCCUCAAAAUCAAUUUCGAUGCUCCUUUUGAUAAGGGGAAAAAUAUAUCUUGUUCAAGGGUAAUAGUCAAGAACUUUAAAGGUGAUGUAUUGGUUUCAAAAUCGGUCAUCCAUGACAAGAUUUCUUCAAGAUUUGCAGCAGAAGCCUUAGCAUGUUUGCAGGCGGUUAUGGUGGGAAAAGAAUUGGGGAUAAAAUAUGUUAUUUUCGAAGGCGACUCUCUGACAGUUAUAAAAAAAUGAACAAAAAAAAAGAUAAAUCGGUAAUCGGCCCUUAUAUUGAUGAUAUUCAAGAGCAGAAGGCGAAUUUUUAUGGAUGCAAAUUCCAGCAUGCAAAAAGAGCGGCAAAUAGAGCAGCACAUAACCUAGCAUCUGAAGGGUGAAAAUGGGGGUGAAUGCAUACUUUGUUCAUGAGCUUGUUACUCAAGUUCUCACCGAUUCAGAAAUUGAUAGGGGAUGGAGAUGAAGGCCAUCACUGAGUCAACACCAUCUCCAGCAAAUGAGAGAGUAGGAGAAAAAAUUUUAGAUCUCUAUGACUGUUUGUUUCUCCAAGAG
rnacentral:lncRNA from 1 species